AUAAACAAAAUACACAUUAAAGCACGUAUGUAGAUAUAAUUUUUUAUCUAUAUCGUGACACAAAAUAUGGUAAAAAAAUCAUACAUAACUUUCAGAACAAAAUACGAUUGAAUCUGCGACGGAACAAUUUCAAACGUUCUAAUUCCUUAUCAGGAGGCAUGCGGCAGAACUUAAUUUUCACAAGAUCAUAGCUGAUAUAGGCUCUUUAUCUAUAUCUGCGGAUAAGAUGGUGUCGUAUCAAUGAUUUCUAUACCUAUCAUAGUUGUGAAGGUUAUAUUAUAUUGGCUUAUAUUUUCCGUGUGAUCUACGACCUAUGAUUGUAUUCAACCAUUUAAUACGUAGGUACUAAUCGUACUAGGUAGGUAUGUUACAAAAUAAAAUAAAAUGUAUUGAGUAUUCACAAAGUAUAUAUUUUUAUAAGCUAACACAAAUUAAGAGGACGUUGUACCCGUCGUGUUGUCUCCGUCUUACACGUACGACAUAACAAAUGCCAAAUUUUUAUUCACCAGUUUCAGAAGUAUGCUGUUAGUUUUGAUAUUAGAGUGAAUUGACCUACUAUAUAAUUUACAGCAAUUUUUCAGAUGUAUGAAUAUAUUAGAUGCACUUACCUAUCAAAUUCACAAGAUUAUGAACAAUAUUAUAUAUAUUUACAAAACUAAUAUAAUUUAUAUGGUGCUCAGUCAAACUUUUUAAUAUGCAUCAUGAGGCACAUCAAUACCGGAUGCAGCCUGCAUUUUAUUAUAACAAACAUUCUUGAUGGUAGUUAGCCAAAUUUAUAAAGUGGAUCACGAAGCAUACCAAUACCACCAGAUGCAGCCUGUAUUUUAUUAUAACAAACAUUCUUGGCUCUGUAAUCUACUUGGUGUUUGGCUGUAUUGCUGUGUAGUGUGUAGAGUGCGAACAAAACGAAUCUGAGAACAAGUGCAACUAAAUAAAAAUUGUACCGAUGUAACAAGUACUUUGGAAUCGGUACUUUAUUGUAACUGUACUGAUUGGAACGAUUACAUAAAAGGAACGAUAAUUCCCACCACUAUUGUAAACGUGUAAAGGUUGCAAUGGACAAUUGCAGAAAAUUUUAAUUAAAUUUUAGACUAAAGGUUCACAAUAGGUAUGUGGUAAUAUGCGCUCAAGCUGAAUUUUCUGAAAUAUAUUUUAAAGCAAUAACAAUUUUAAUACAAUUCUCUACAAUA